AAUUAACAGGGAAGGAAUAGGAUGUGAGCCCAGCACAAUGCAUGACAUAAUGAAUAAUAAUAAAUAUAUAAAUAAUAUAACAACGCGGUCAAGAAAAUCGCAAAAUUUAAACAUUAUACUGCCGUACCGUUUAGAAAGAAUUGAAUUCGCCUCAAACUCUUCUCUGCACAUCCCUGCAUGAGAAGUCCUCGGAACCUCGAAAGGCUUGACAAGGAUGUACAAGGUCGAGGAGGAAUGAAAAUUAACAAAUAAAUGUAAACAUAACCCUAAAGUAUCAGAGCCACCAAGUGUCAAACCAGUAUGCAAGGACUUGUUAAAAGAAGCAAGUUAGCAGUUAAGAGAGCUGAAUUGCAACUGAAAAUGAAAAGGGAAGAAAAGAAGGGAAACAGGAAACAGCACACCGUCAAGAAGGCGAUAAUGAAAUAAAAUAAAAUAGCGAUAAACAGUGAUGGCGUGGCACAGAUAAAGUAUAAAAA